rnacentral:tRNA from 1 species
GCCUGGGUGGCUCAGUAGGUUAAGUGCCUGACUUCGGCUCAGGUCAUGAUCUUACAGUUUGUGGGUUCAAGCCCUGCAUCAGGCU